GAUGAACGCUAGCGGCAGGCUUAAUACAUGCAAGUCGAGGGACAGCACAGGUAGCAAUACUGGGUGGUAACCGGCAAACGGGUGCGGAACACGUACACAACCUUCCUUUAAGUGGGGGAUAGCCCAGAGAAAUUUGGAUUAAUACCCCGUAAUAUAGUUGAAUGGCAUCAUUUGAUUAUUAUAGCUACGGCGCUUAAUGAUGGGUGUGCGGCUGAUUAGAUAGUUGGCGGGGUAACGGCCCACCAAGUCUACGAUCAGUAGCUGAUGUGAGAGCAUGAUCAGCCACACGGGCACUGAGAAACGGGCCCGACUCCUACGGGAGGCAGCAGUAAGGAAUAUUGGUCAAUGGACGCAAGUCUGAACCAGCCAUGCCGCGUGAAGGAUUAAGGUCCUCUGGAUUGUAAACUUCCUUUAUUUGGGACAAAAAAGGGUCUUUCUAGGUCAACUGACGGUACCAGAUGAAUAAGCACCGGCUAACUCCGUGCCAGCCGCCGCCGUAAGAC
rnacentral:rRNA from 1 species